rnacentral:lncRNA from 1 species
AUUAAUGUCAACAGAAAGCAACAUAUCAGGGCAUAAAUUCUGUGAUUGACUCAUCAAUCGAAAGCAACAUAUCAAGGGCAUAAAUUCUGUGAUUGACUCAUCAAUAGAAAGCAACAUAUCAAGGGCAUAAAUUCUGUAAUUGACUCAUUAAUCUAGGCUGUAAAUAGGAGUAGAGAUUUGGCUUACCAUAUGUAAGUUACCAGAUAUAGCUCCCUAAAAUCACUUUACGUAAUUAGCAUUUAUAGUUUAAGUUUCCUUGUAUAGUGGUUAAUUUUACCUAUAUAAAUGAAAGACCUUCUCAGAAGAGAAGACAAUUCAAACCAUUUUGAUAUGGUAUCAGAGCCAUAGUCUAAGAAAUAUAUAUUUUUUCAGUCAUAGCCUCAAGAAUUAUGGAGAAGUCAAAUAAUGUUUGUGUUAGAUUCACUGGCAAAAAUUAUUCUGCCUGGGAGUUUCAACUGGAAACAUUUCUCAAAAGAAAAUAGCUCUGGGGUCAUAUAGAUGGGAGCAACAAUGGAGGUUCUACUGCUGCUGACAUAACCAGAUCAUGUUGUGGAUUCUUAGUUCUAUGGAACCAUAUCCGAUUCUUGCUUUGCGUCCCCAUAGGUCUGCAAAGGCUAUGUGGGAUUAUCUCAAGCAAGUCUAUAACCAAAACAACAAUGCUAGGCGUUUCUAGCUUGAGUUGGCUAUUACUAACUAUACCUAAGGAGACCUAUCUAUUCAAGAUUAUUACUUUGGUUUCCUGACUUUGUGGAAUGAUUAUUCAAACCUUGUUACAGCCAAGGUCUCUGCAGAAGGGUUGGAGGUAGUACAACACAUACACAAAACCAGCCAAAGAGACCAAUUUCUGAGGAAAUUAAGGUCUGAUUUUGAAUCCGUUCGUGCCUCUCUAGUAAAUAGAGAUCCUGUUCCAACUUUGGAGGCAUGUUUUGGAGAACUCUUGCAUGAGGAACAACGUCUCAAUACUCAAAAUAUUAUGGAGCAGGCACGUGUUUCUUCUAAUCCUGUCUCAGUUGCCUAUGUUGCUCAUAGUAAGGGAAAGGGACGUGAUAUGAGCACCACACAGUGCUAUAGUUGUAAGAAGUAUGACCAUAUUGCUCCUCACUACCCUCAGAAAGUGUGUAACUACUGCAAGCAAUCAGGGCACAUUAUUAAAGAGUGUCAUGUUCGUCCUUCGCGUUCCAAUAAGGCUUCUCAUGUUGCUGUUACUUUUGCUGGUUCACAACCAGCCUUUACUACUGUGGAUGCUACAACAUCUGCUGUUAGUUUACAACCUCCAGAACUUGUUAUAACUCGAGAGACGGUGCAUGAAAUGAUUGUGAGUGCUUUUUCAGCUUUUGGUCUUCAAGGUAAUGGUUCUUCCUCUAUUUCUUGCAUCUUAGACUCGGGCGCCUCAAAUCAUAUGACUAAUACUCUCCAUAGAUUAAGUAAUAUCAGAAAGUAUGUUAGCUCAUCACAUAUUCAAACAGCCAAUGGUAAUGCUCUACCCAUUGUGGCAGUUGGUGAUGUAUCAUCUAACUUUAAUGAUGUUCUUGUGUCACCAAAUCUCUCUGUGAAUUUGAUAUCUGUCGGCAAGCUUGUGGACCAAAACUAUAAUGUACAUUUUACUAAUGAUGGUUGUAUUGUACAGGAUCGGAUGUCAGGGCAGGUGAUAGUGAAGGGGCCUAAGCACGGACGUCUCUUUUCUCUGCAAUUACCUGUUCCACGUAGCUUAUCUUCCUUAGUCCUAUCUUUACUUUGUAAUGAGUCUAAAGUGUCAAAUGAAGUUUGGCAUAAGCGUCUUGGCCAUCCUAAUUCUAGGAUUCUAUCUUAUUUAUUGAAAUCUGGUCUGUUAUCUGAUAAAGAGUAUUCUUCUUCCACUAUUUUUCCUGUGUGUACAACUUGCAGACUGGGCAAAAGUAAGAUUUUACCUUUUCCUUCUGAAGGAAGUAGAGCAACUUACGCAUUUGAAAUAAUUCAUAGUGAUGUUUGGGGUAUUAGUCCUAUCAUUUCUCAUGGUCAAUACAAAUAUUUUGUGACGUUUAUCGAUGACUACAGUAGAUAUACGUGGGUUUACUUCUCGCAACACAAAUCAGAAGUUUGUUCUAUGUUCAAACUAUUCUUAGCUUUUGUAACACCCAAUUUUCAGCCACUAUCUGACUCGGGUGGGGAAUAUAUGUGUCAUGAGUUCCAAUCUUUCUUGCAAUCUAAAGGAAUUAUCUCUCAACGCUCUUGUCCAUACACUCCACAACAAAAUGGACUUGCCGAAAGAAAAAAUCGCCAUCUUUUAGAUGUUGUAAGGACCUUGCUCAUUGAGUCUUAUGUUCCUCCAAAGUUUUAGGUAGAAGCACUUGCUACAACAACUUUUCUUAUAAGGACCUUGCUCAUUGAGUCUUAUGUUCCUCCAAAGUUUUAGGUAGAAGCACUUGCUACAACAACUUUUCUUAUCAAUAGACUCCCUUCCCAAGUUCUAAAUUUUCAGUCUCCAUAUUUCAAACUUCAUCAUCGCAAUCCUACCUACUCAAAUCUACACACUUUUGGGUUUUUGUGUUUUAUGCAUCUUCCUUCACCAGACAGGAACAAGCUUUCUACUCAGUCCGUACGUUGUGCGUUCUUAGUAUAUAGUGUCACAUAAAAAGGGUAUUUAUGCUAUGAUCCAAACUCUAAUAAGGUUCUGUUUCACGAAAUGUGCUCUUUUGUGAAAAUCAAUGGUUCUUUCCUAUGUCUUCAUCAAAGAAUCCUUCUCUUUCUCUCUUACCUUCUUUUGAUGACACCUCUAGUGCUCCUAAUAAUCAGGUUGAAAGGAAUAAGCCUGGUAUGGUCUAUGAGCGAAGACUUCAAGUGCUGCCCCCUUCUGCUCCUGCCUUACCAUCUGCUCCCUUGCGCCGCUCCUCUAGAGUUUCUGGUCCUCCUGACUGUUAUGGAUUUGAGUCACUUAUGGUAUGUACCUACAAUUCUGCACUCUCGGCCACUAUAUCCUCUAUUGUUAUUCCUACCGGUUACUCACAAGCAGUUAAAGAAAAAUGUUGGCAGCAGGCCAUGAAGGAGAAACUAUGUGCUCUUGAAGCUAAUAAGACUUGGGAAUUGGUAGAUUGUCCAGCAGGUGUGACUCCACUUGGUUGUAAGUGGGUCUAUUCUAUUAAGGUUAAAUCUGAUGGUAGUUUGGACAGAUAUAAGGCCCGCUUAGUAGCUCUUGGAAAUAAUCAAGAAUAUGGUGUGAAUUAUGAUGAGACUUUGGCUCCGAUAGCUAAAAUGACCACUAUCCGCACUAUAUUGGCUAUUGCUGCUUCUCAAAAUUGGGGUUUACAUCAAAUGGAUGUGAAGAAUGCAUUUCUUCACAGAGAUCUCAAGGAAGAUGUUUAUAUGCGUCCUCUAGCUGGCUUACUUUCCGCUCCUACUUCUGCUGUGUGCAAGUUACGUCGAUCUUUGUACGGUCUUAAGCAAGCCCCCCGUGCUUGAUAUGAGAAAUUUGUCUCUACUCUACUCAAACUUGCUUUUCUCAAAAGCAAGUAUGAUGCAUCUUUAUUUCUUCGCAAAACUAAGUCUGGUAUUAUGGUUAUCUUAGUGUAUGUGGACGAUAUAAUUAUCACGAGUACAGAUUCAGUUCUGAUUUCCCAAUCAAAACAGCAUUUAAAGGACUCAUUUCACAUCAAGGAUCUCGGCUCUCUCACAUAUUUUCUUGGUCUAGAAAUUAUUGCUGAUUCACGUGGUACUUUUCUGUCACAACAUAAGUAUGCCAAAGACUUGGUGGCUGCUGCUGGUCUCCAGCACUCUACACCUCUUGAAACUCCCAUGAAAAUUAAUCUCAAGCUACGCAAAGAUGAGGGUGACCUGUUAUUAGACCCCACAACCUAUCGCACUCUUGUUGGCAACUUGGUAUAUCUGACAAUCACUAGGCCCGAUAUCUCUUAUGCAGUCCAGCAGGUUUGUCGGUACAUGGAUUCUCCUCGACAUCUCCAUAUGGCCGCAGUUCGAAGAAUCAUCAAAUAUGUUCAAGGUACAUCCUUGCGGGAACUUUUUUACCCUACAGGUACCUCACUUGAUCUUGUCGAGUAUAGUGAUGCUGAUUAUGCCGAAUGUAGUGAUACUCGACGUUCUACCACUGGCUGGUGUAUGUUUCUUGGCCCUUCUCUUAUUUCCUGGAAAAGCAAGAAACAAGACAUUGUCUCCAAGUCCUCUACUGAGUCCAAAUAUCGGGCUAGGUCACAAGCUUAUGCUGAGAUACAUUGGCUCCGUGGUCUACUAGAUGAGCUUGGAUUUCCUCCAUGCGGUCCUACUCCUCUUAAUGUGGAUAAUACUAGUGCCAUCUACAUUUCAGCCAAUCCUAUCUUUCGUGAACGCACUAAACAUAUCGAGGUGGAUUGCCACUUCAUCCGUGAGGCGUUUGAGGCUCAGAUUAUUUCUCUCCCCCAUGUGUCAAGCAAUCUUCAAGUGGAAGAUAUUUUCACUAAAGCUCUUACGAGUCAACAACAUAAUUUUCUUACAAACAAAUUGAUGCUGAUUGAUAAACCCGCAUCAAUUUGAGGAGGGAUGUCGACAGAAAGCAACAUAUCAGGGCAUAAAUUCUGUGAUUGACUCAUCAAUAGAAAGCAACAUAUCAAGGGCAUAAAUUCUGUAAUUGACUCAUUAAAUUCUGUGAUUGACUCAUCAAUAGAAAGCAACAUAUCAAGGGCAUAAAUUCUGUAAAUUGACUCAUUAAUCUAGGCUGUAAAUAGGAGAAGAGAUUUAGCUUAUCAUAUGUAAGUUACCAGAUAUAACUCCCUAAAAUCACUCUAUGUAAUUAGCAUGUAUAGUUUAAGUUUCCUUGUAUAGUGGUUAAUUUUGCCUAUAUAAAUGAAAGACUUUCUCAGAAGAGAAGACAAUUUGAACCAUUUUGAUAAUUAACAGGGGUAGGCUUACUCAUAAAUUGACAAUUACCCAAAAAUCCUAUCUUGAUAGAGUAAUAACUAAAUUUGGCAUGAAAGGAUUCUAAAUCUACAUUCCAUAUCUAACUUAUAAGAGGAAAUCACUUUGUGCAAAGCAGCAAAUGACAAUCAAAAGAAUUAAUAGAACUAUGUACCAUCUCAUAUCUAGAGUAUGUAACCUUCUAAUUAACAAAUUAAUGAGUGCCUAAUGAUGUUGAUAAACAAACAUAAAU